rnacentral:rRNA from 1 species
AUGGAGGCGGCGAUUGGCGCGGCACGUGGGCUCGUUGGCAGGGUAGUGAAUCUGCUGUCCAACGACCUUGUGCAGGCGUAUGUCGCCAGUGCUGAGCUCGGCCUCAACUCCGAGAAGACCAAAGAUGAUCUGAUGCGCACACAAGUGGUGCUGCGGGAGGCCCAGCGUAGAGGCGUGAUCAACAACCCCAGUUUGGAGGAGCUGUUGCACAAGCUCCACACCAAGGUCGGCAAGGCGGAGGACGCGCUGGACGAGCUCCAGUACAUCAUCAUCCAGGACCAGCUCGACGGCACUCAGUACGCUGUGCCGGAUCUGGGCAAUACCCUCUGGGGUCAUGCUCGCCACAUCCGUCAUGCCAUUCACCAUGCCAUCGGUAACUUCAUCCUUCCAUGCUUUUCUUGUUGGCUGCUGCAAGAUGAUGAUCAUGGUGCUGCUGCUAUAAAUCAUCCUCACAAUACCUCCAACCCAGCUAGUGGUAAUGAUGGUUCAGUUACUAAGUUGUCAUUCGACAGAGUGGCCAUGUCCAAGAAAAUCAAACAAGCCAUAGAGGAAAUGCACUCCCUGUGUGACCAAUUCUUGGAGUUGCUAAAAAUAAUCCCAGACCAUAGUAACAGUACUACAACUGUCAACCUAAAACGACCUCUCACAGGAUCAAUCACUGCACAAGAUAAAUUGUAUGGGAGGGAAGACCUGUUUGAGCAAACCAUAAAAGAUCUCAUCACCAAUUGCACAGAUAGCAAUAAAGCUCUUUCAGUUAUGCCUAUAAUUGGUCCAGGGGGUAUUGGAAAAACAACCUUCACCCAACACCUGUACAAAGAUAAAAGGACACGUGAACACUACCCUGCCAGGGCUUGGAUAUGUGUCUCAACUGAUUUUGAUGUGCUUAAGCUCAGUCAGCAGAUCCUUAGCCAAAUUGAAGAAAACAAUGAUGCAUAUCAAACAUCAAGUUUAAACCAGCUCCAGAAUUCCAUUGAAAAGGGGCUCAAGUCUAAAAGGUUUUUGAUUGUCUUUGAUGAUAUAUGGGAAUGCACUACUCAGGAUUGGGAAACCCUGCUAGCUCCUAUGGGAAAGGGCGAAACCACAGGUAACAUGGUUCUCGUCACAACUCGGUUCCCAUCUAAAGUUGAUGAUGUGAAAACAACCGACCCGAUUCUGCUGAAAGGCCUUGAGCUGGAUGAUUUUUUAACAUUCUUCGAAGCAUUAAUAUUUGAAGGACAAAUACCCCACAAUUUGAAAGAACUUGCAAAGGAUAUUGCCAAGAAAUUGAAGGGUUCACCUCUAGCAGCCAAAACAGUUGGUCGGCUAUUGAAGAAUGACCUAUCUAAGAAACAUUGGAUGGCAGUUCUCAAAGAUAAUAGAUGGCAAAAACAAAAAAAUAAUGAUGAUAUUAUGCCAUCUCUAAAGAUUAGCUAUGAUUACCUUCCUUUCCAACUGAAAAAAUGUUUUUCGUGUUUUUCCCUAUUCCCGGAAGACCAUAGGUUUAGCAAUCUAGAGAUUACAUGUUUUUGGAGUGCAUUAGGGAUCAUUGAAAAAGAUGAGAAUUACAUGGAAGAACUUUUGAAAAAUGGUUUUCUCGUGAAGGAGAAUGAUCGUUGGUCAAAUCAACAGUACUAUGUGCUGCAUGAUUUAUUGCACGAACUAGCUCGGAGUGUCUCGUCACAAGAAUGCCUAAAUAUAUAUAGCAAUGGAAGUUUUAGGGCUGAUGAUGUCCCAAAAUCCAUUCGUCAUUUUUCCAUCACCAUGAAAGACAAAUACGUUGAGACUUUUAGGACAGAAAUGACUAAAUUAAAGAGCAAGGUAGACAUCCCAAAUUUGCGUGCUCUAAUGAUUUUUAGAAAAUAUGAGGAACAAAUUGAUGAGAUUAUAGAAGACACUUUCAAGGAAAUAGAGGCCCUUCGUGUUCUUUUUAUCGAAGUCAUGUCCCCAGAAUCUUUACCACAUUACUUUCCAAAACUUAUCCACCUACGAUAUCUAAAAAUUAGUCCAUCGGAAUUUGGUUCAGAAGUGACUUUUCCUAGCACACUGUCAAGAUUUUAUCACUUGCAAUUAUUGGACCUAAGUGAUUGGUAUGAUCAAAGUGUUAAAUUGCCCAAUGACAUUAACCGCCUUACCAAUUUAUGCCAUUUUAUUGCCGAAAGAGAAGUCCAUUCCAAUGUUCCUGAGGUAGGAAAGAUGAAGUAUUUAAAGGAGCUUAAAGAAUUCCAUGUCAAGAAAGAGAGUGUUGGAUUUGAAUUGAGUGAAUUGGGGGAUUUAACAGAGCUUGGAGGAGAACUCAGUAUAUAUAAUAUUGGAAAUGUGGCAACCAAGGAAGAGGCCAUGAAAGCCAAGCUUGUGUCAAAAGGUGAUUUGGAAACGUUGAGGUUGGUUUGGGGAGGAUUGGAUGCAUCGGAACCAUCUGAUGCCCUUGAUGGUACACCAGAAUUAUCUGAUGUUCUUGAUGGUCUUGAGCCACACCCUAAUCUUCAAUCACUUGGCAUUGAAAACCAUGGUGGUUCAGUCGAGGGUGUGUCUUGGGCCAUUCUUCCACCUUUUGGGCAGUUAUUGCAUCUCAGAUCACUCAAAUUAAUUAACAUUUCCAGUCUUGUUCAGAUCAAACCAGGGGUUGUUGGGGUCACGGCUAAAAGUUUUACGCAGUUGAAGGAGAUUGUUCUUGAUUCUUUGUCGGAAUUUACCCAGUGGGAUGAGGCGCCUAAUGCCCAUUCAUUUUCAAUGCUUGAAAAAAUUGUUUGCAAAGAAUGCCCCAAUCUCUAUAAAUUGCCAUUCCUGCAGGAUUGCUCUAUGGGCUCUUAUAACCAUCUGUGGAAACUUGAAAUUACUGGUUGCCCAAAGUUGCUUAUGCCCCUCAUGCCUCACACUUCCACACUAACUGACGUUACUGUGGAUACUAGGCGUACUGGGAGAAUGGUGUACGUGAACCAUAAUUUGUAUUUGACAAGGUAUAACAGGGCAUUAGCCUGGCAUAAUAUGGCCGGCAAAGUAGAGAGCAUCACAUUUAAAGCUGGAUCAACAGUCCCAUGGAUAAUCCUACAAAGUUUAACCUCCUUCAAGAAACUUGUAAUUGAAGGAGACUCAAGCAAGCAAUCGUUGGCUUCGCUCUCAUACCUCACGUCUCUCACCAAUUUAAGAAUACAAGAUUGUAAGAAUUUCAAAGUGGGUGGGUUCAAUCUUCUCAUGGCUUCCAACCUCAAGGAUUUGGCGGUCCACAACAUAAUUGAAUAUUACCCUCGCUUUGUAGCCGCGGAUCUUCUCUCGGAAUUGGCGGUGGAAAUAACAAGGAGUAAAAAGUUAUUACCACCUACAGCUGGCGCUUUACUCCAGUUGGUAAGACUUAAUGUGGAUAGCAUCUCGGCUGUGCUUGUUGCUCCAGUUUGUCGCCUACUCGCUGCUACCCUCAAGGAGUUAGUGAUCACGUGUGAUCGAGAGGUGGAGAACCUCACCAAAGAUGAAGAGAAAGCGCUUCAGCUCCUCACCUCACUCCAAGAACUAAGUUUUUGGAGGUGCCAUCGUCUGCGGUCCUUCCCUCAAGGGUUACACGGCCUUCCUUCUCUCAGGAAACUACAAGCCAUCACUUGUCGACGAAUCAGAUCGCUGCCCAAGAAGGGAAUCCCCACUUCUCUGCGGGAGCUAUCAAUAAAUGAUUGCAGUCGCAAGCUACACAAUCAAGCCAAGAAACUAAAUCAAAGAAAUUUGUCUGUAAGCGCCUAG